GUACAUUUUAGGACAUCCUCAGACCUCAGUCAUCAAAUGAAAAGGCGUCAUGCCUCAGACUAAAAGGCUUCAGUCAUCGGACAAAACGGCAUCGCGUCUCCGACUGAAAAGCUUCAGGUCUCAGGAAAAACGACGUCAGGUGUCAGGUCUCAUACAAUUAACGUUAGGCAUCAGACGAAACAGACUCAGAAAAAAAGUCAUUAAACAAAACGGACUCGGACAAAGUGUCAUCAGACGAAACGGACUCAGACAAAAAGUCAUCAAACGAAAAGGACUCAGGUGGAGAAUCGCGUUGCCCCGCCCCAUGUGACGUCACACGCACGCCGUUAGCAGGAAGUGGUAAUGGUUGAUUGAUGGCAAAAGGAGUGAAACACAUCUAAGAAGAUGAAUAAAAUCAAGUGAGCCACAGAGAUGGCAUCGUCCAAGAGCACAGGCAUGUAUUUUUCUUUUCUGCAUUGGUAAGAAAACUAUUAACUCAAAGAAAGUAUAUGUAAACAUUUAAACAUCAUAUACUAAUAAUGAACAAGAGUGCAGAUUAAGUAACAAAUAUAUAAAUGAAAACCACCCAAGAUCAGUAAACGAUCUUUAACUAUUACUGUAUUCAUUUUAUAUUAAGGGAGUUCAUCCAGAGGCAGUGAGUGACCUUUGUGUCCUGAAACCAGAAUCAGUUGGGAAGAAUGGAACCAAGUCUACCCAAUUAAAAGGCUUACACAGGUCCCCUUCCAGAUGCUGAUGUCUUGGCUUCUGGUGCAAAACUACGUCAGAUUAAUCCCAAGCCUUUGCUGCCGUACAUACUUGAGGGCAUGUCAAAAGUAGAGUUGUACCUCUUGGCAGUCCACUUUCAUACCAGUGUCCCCGUAUAGCUGCAGGUGUUCCUGAUCUUAAUUUCCCCCCACUACCUGUGCUUGGUUUUCAGUUUGGCUGUAAUUUAAAAUUUGGCCAGACGGACGAGUGCGUGAUCCAUCUGAAACAUUCGUUUGGACUAGUGGAGGUAAAAAGCACCUCUGCUGAAAACAUUGCUCAGGUUCCAUUUAUGAAAAUUCAAAGAGGACUAGCCAAACUUAAAGAGACCCAUAAGUACUACUGGCAGGUACAAGGUCAGACUGCAGUGACUGGUCUACACUGGUGUGACUUUGUGACUGACACACAAUCAGAUUUCAUAAUACAGAUGAUCUGGCGAGAUGAUGCCUUCAUAACAUCAAUGAAAGUACUGUUAUAACGUUUAUCUGGAUGUGUAUCUUUCAGUGGUAUGAAUGGACAGAUUCUGUUCAUAUUAUAGUAUGAACCUAAGAUUUAUUUUUACAUUCAUAGUAAAUAUAUACUUUAUGUAGUUGAGUAGUAUGUAGCAUAUUUUGUAGUAGAUCUUUGAUAACAUAUUAGAUACAUCACAAAUUAUAACAAUAAAUAUAUUGUACUUGCUAUUAAUUAGAUAAAUGUACAUACCAAGGUGAA